AGUGAACGCUGGCGGUAGACCUAACACAUGCAAGUCGAACGGCAGCACAGUAAGAGCUUGCUCUUACGGGUGGCGAGUGGCGGACGGGUGAGGAAUACAUCGGAAUCUACUUUUUCGUGGGGGAUAACGUAGGUAAACUUACGCUAAUACCGCAUACGACCUACGGGUGAAAGCAGGGGAUCUUCGGACCUUGCGCGAUUGAAUGAGCCGAUGUCGGAUUAGCUAGUUGGCGGGGUAAAGGCCCACCAAGGCGACGAUCCGUAGCUGGUCUGAGAGGAUGAUCAGCCACACUGGAACUGAGACACGGUCCAGACUCCUACGGGAGGCAGCAGUGGGGAAUAUUGGACAAUGGGCGCAAGCCUGAUCCAGCCAUACCGCGUGGGUGAAGAAGGCCUUCGGGUUGUAAAGCCCUUUUGUUGGGAAAGAAAAGCAGCAGGUUAAUACCCCGCUGUUCUGACGGUACCCAAAGAAUAAGCACCGGCUAACUUCGUG
rnacentral:rRNA from 1 species